rnacentral:misc_RNA from 1 species
GAUGAAGAACGUAGCGAAAUGCGAUAAGUAAUGUGAAUUGCAGAAUUCAGUGAAUCAUCAAAUCUUUGAACGCACAUUGCGCCCGCUAGUAUUCUGGCGGGCAUGCCUGUUCGAGCGUCAUUUCAACCAUCAAGCCCUGUUUAGGCUUGUGUUGGGGCCCUGCGGCUGCCGCAGCCCCCUAAAUGCAGUGGCGGGCUCGUUGUCACUCCGAGCGCAGUAGCGUAUCUCGCUCUGGGCGUGGCGGCGGGUGCUAGCCGUGAAACACCCACUAGGGUUGACCUCGGAUCAGGUAGGAAUACCCGCUGAACUUAAGCAUAUCAAUAAGCGGAGGA